rnacentral:rRNA from 1 species
UACGUAAGGGGCAAGCGUUGUCCGAAUUCACUGGGCGUAAAGGGCACGUAGGCGGCUCGGUAAGUUGAGGGUGCAAUCUCUGGGCUUAACCCAGAAACUGCCUUCAAAACUGCCUUGCUUGAGUAUCAGAGGGGAGACUGGAAUUCACGGUGUAGCGGUGAAAUGCGUAGAUAUCGUGGAGAACACCCGUGGCGAAGGCGGGUCUCUGGCUGAUUACUGACGCUGAGGUGCGAAAGCUAGGGGAGCAAACGGG